rnacentral:rRNA from 1 species
GACAGAGGGUGCAAACGUUGCUCGGAAUUACUGGGCGUAAAGCGCGUGUAGGCGGGCCGAUAAGUCAGGCGUGAAAUCCCCGAGCUCAACUCGGGAACUGCACCUGAAACUGUCGGCCUAGAGUGAUGGAGAGGGUAGCGGAAUUCCUGGUGUAGAAGUGAAAUUCGUAGAUAUCAGGAGGAACACCGGUGGCGAAGGCGACUACCUGGACAUUAACUGACGCUGAGACGCGAAAGCGUGGGGAGCAAACAGG